UACGUAGGUGACCAGCGUUGUCCGGAUUUACUGGGCGUAAAGAGCGCGCAGGCGGUCGUUCAAGUCGAGUGUGAAAGCCCCCGGCUCAACUGGGGAGGGUCACUCGAUACUGAUCGACUUGAAGGCAGGAGAGGGAAGCGGAAUUCCCGGUGUAGUGGUGAAAUGCGUAGAUAUCAGGAGGAACACCGGUGGCGAAGGCGGGUCUCUGGGCCUUACCUGACGCUCAGGCGCGAAAGCUAGGGGAGCGAACAGG
rnacentral:rRNA from 1 species